UACAGAGGGUGCGAGCGUUGUCCGGAAUCACUGGGCGUAAAGGGCGCGUAGGUGGCGACCCAAGUCGAUGGUGAAAGCUCGCCGCUUAACGGCGAGUCGGCCACCGAUACUGGGUUGCUCGAGCACUGUAGAGGCUCAUGGAAUUCCGGGUGUAGCGGUGGAAUGCGUAGAGAUCCGGAAGAACACCGGUGGCGAAGGCGGCCAACUGGACGAAUACUGACGCUGAGACGCGAAAGCGUGGGGAGCAAACAGG
rnacentral:rRNA from 1 species